rnacentral:rRNA from 1 species
AACGAACGCUGGCGGCGUGGAUUAGGCAUGCAAGUCGAACGAGAAAGUCANNUUCGGGUGGCGAGUACAGUGGCGAACGGGUGAGUAACGCGUGAGAAACCUGCCUGGAAGAGGGGGAUAACACUCCUAACGGGGUGCUAAUACCGCAUGUGGUGUGAGAUUCGCAUGGAUCUCACAUUAAAGGUGGCCUCUAUUUAUAAGCCAUCACUUCCAGAUGGUCUCGCGUCCGAUUAGCUUGUUGGUGGGGUAACGGCCUACCAAGGCUACGAUCGGUAGCUGGUCUGAGAGGAUGGUCAGCCACACUGGGACUGAGAUACGGCCCAGACUCCUACGGGAGGCAGCAGUCGAGAGGCUUUGUCAAUGGGGGAAACCCUGAACAAGCGACGCCGCGUGGGGGAUGAAGGCUUUUGGGUCGUAAACCCCUUUCAGUGGGGACGAAAGGUCGGUGGAGUAAUAUGCCAUCGAUUUGACGGUACCUACAGAAGAAGCUCCGGCUAACUCCGUGCCAGCAGCCGCGGUAAUACGGGGGGAGCAAGCGUUGUUCGGAAUCACUGGGCGUAAAGGGCGUGUAGGCGGUUUGGUAAGUGAGGUGUGAAAGCCCCCGGCUCACCCGGGGAGGGUCAUCUCAUACUGCUGGACUUGAGUGCGGAAGAGGAUGAGGGAAUUCCUGGUGUAGCGGUGAAAUGCGUAGAUAUCAGGAGGAACACCGGUGGCGAAGGCGCUCAUCUGGUCCGUUACUGACGCUGAGGCGCGAAAGCUAGGGGAGCAAACGGGAUUAGAUACCCUGGUAGAAGGGCGAAUUC